UACGGGGGGGGCAAGCGUUGUUCGGAAUUACUGGGCGUAGAGGGUUCGUAGGUGGCUGGCUAAGUCAGACGUGAAAUCCCUCAGCUCAACUGGGGAACUGCGUCUGAGACUGGUCAGCUUGAGUGCAGGAGAGGAACGCGGAAUUCCAGGUGUAGCGGUGAAAUGCGUAGAUAUCUGGAGGAACACCGGUGGCGAAGGCGGCGUUCUGGACUGCAACUGACACUGAGGAACGAAAGCCAGGGGAGCAAACGGG
rnacentral:rRNA from 1 species